rnacentral:rRNA from 1 species
GACGAACGCUGGCGGCGUGCUUAACACAUGCAAGUGGAGCGACGAAACCGGGGGCUUGCCCCCGGGGCGAGAGCCGCGAACGGGUGAGUAACACGUGGGUUACCUGCCCCAAUGACCGGGACAACCCGAGGAAACUCGGGGCUAAUACCGGAUGUGGUCUUCGGACGAAAGGAAGCGUUCGGCCGUCCGCAUUGGGAUGGGCCCGCGGCGCAUUAGCUUGUUGGUGGGGUAACGGCCUACCAAGGCGACGAUGCGUAGCNGGUCUGAGAGGACGAUCAGCCACACUGGGACUGAGACACGGCCCAGACUCCUACGGGAGGCAGCAGUGGGAAUCUUGGCGCAAUGCGCGAAAGCGUGACGCAGCAACGCCGCGUGGGGAAGAAGGCCU